rnacentral:rRNA from 1 species
GAUGAACGCUAGCUACAGGCUUAACACAUGCAAGUCGAGGGGAAACGGCAUUGAGUGCUUGCACUCUUUGGACGUCGACCGGCGCACGGGUGAGUAACGCGUAUCCAACCUUCCCAUUACUGUGGGAUAACCUGCCGAAAGGCAGACUAAUACCGCAUAGUCUUCGAUGACGGCAUCAGAUUUGAAGUAAAGAUUUAUCGGUAAUGGAUGGGGAUGCGUCUGAUUAGCUUGUUGGCGGGGUAACGGCCCACCAAGGCGACGAUCAGUAGGGGUUCUGAGAGGAAGGUCCCCCACAUUGGAACUGAGACACGGUCCAAACUCCUACGGGAGGCAGCAGUGAGGAAUAUUGGUCAAUGGACGGAAGUCUGAACCAGCCAAGUAGCGUGCAGGAUGACGGCCCUAUGGGUUGUAAACUGCUUUUGUAUGGGGAUAAAGUUAGGGACGUGUCCCUAUUUGCAGGUACCAUACGAAUAAGGACCGGCUAAUUCCGU